rnacentral:rRNA from 1 species
CCUUGGGGUUGUAAACCUCUUUCACCAGGGACGAAGCGUAAGUGACGGUACCUGGAGAAGAAGCACCGGCCAAGUACGUGCCAGCAGCCGCGGUAAUACGUAGGGUGCGAGCGUUGUCCGGAAUUACUGGGCGUAAAGAGCUCGUAGGCGGUUUGUCGCGUCGUCUGUGAAAUUCUGCAGCUUAACUGUAGGCGUGCAGGCGAUACGGGCAGACUUGAGUACUACAGGGGAGACUGGAAUUCCUGGUGUAGCGGUGAAAUGCGCAGAUAUCAGGAGGAACACCGGUGGCGAAGGCGGGUCUCUGGGUAGUAACUGACGCUGAGGAGCGAAAGCGUGGGUAGCGAACAGGAUUAGAUACCCUGGUAGUCCACGCCGUAAACGGUGGGUACUAGGUGUGGGUUCCAUUUCACGGGAUCCGUGCCGUAGCUAACGCAUUAAGUACCCCGCCUGGGGAGUACGGCCGCAAGGCUAAAACUCAAAGGAAUUGACGGGGGCCCGCACAAGCGGCGGAGCAUGUGGAUUAAUUCGAUGCAACGCGAAGAACCUUACCUGGGUUUGACAUACACCAGACGCCAGCAGAGAUGUUGGUUCCCUUGUGGUUGGUGUACAGGUGGUGCAUGGCUGUCGUCAGCUCGUGUCGUGAGAUGUUGGGUUAAGUCCCGCAACGAGCGCAACCCUUGUCCUGUAUUGCCAGCGGGUUAUGCCGGGGACUUGCAGGAGACUGCCGGGGUCAACUCGGAGGAAGGUGGGGAUGACGUCAAGUCAUCAUGCCCCUUAUGUCCAGGGCUUCACACAUGCUACAAUGGCUGGUACAGAGGGCUGCGAUACCGUGAGGUGGAGCGAAUCCCUUAAAGCCAGUCUCAGUUCGGAUUGGGGUCUGCAACUCGACCCCAUGAAGUCGGAGUCGCUAGUAAUCGCAGAUCAGCAACGCUGCGGUGAAUACGUUCCCGGGCCUUGUACACACCGCCCGUCACGUCAUGAAAGUCGGUAACACCCGAAGCCGGUGGCCUAACCCUUGUGGAGGGAGCUGUCGAAUGGUGAU